GUUGCUUAGUGUCUCAGUUUUUCCUGAGGUUGGCUUUGAACUUAGGAUCCUCAGGUAUCAGCGUCCUGAGCCGCUGCGAUCACAGGCAUGAGCCAUGGGGAUCACAGGCCUGUGUCAUCACGACCAGAUUUAAUUUUGAAUUUUGAGGCAAGGAUGCCAGAGGUUUGCCUCCAAGAGCCCCAGACAAGUGGAUACCAUGAAGAAACGCUGUAGAAACAACACUGAGUGAGGAGCAGAAAGGGGAAGACUUGUGACAUGGAAACUGAGUUCUGGAAGAGAGAAGGUGCCCAUGGGAAGCAGAGCACAUGGAGGAAAGCGUAGGUCAGCCUUGCCAACCUGAGGACAUAGUUUCUUGGAGCUCAGAGCCCAGAGGUCUUCGUGCACUAAAGCCCCUGCAGCCAAAGAGUUGAUCCCCAAGGAGAUAAUGUGAUGCUCUGGAAUCUCCAGACCCAGUGACACUGUGUAAAAUAAGACCUGAAUGGACGAAAUCCUGUGGAAAAUGAAGUUCUACCAGGACAAGAGUUCUGAGGAAAGAAGAGGAAAUUCAGCCCCAGUGUGGUUUCUGAUGAAUAAUGAAAGGCACCAGGCAAGCAUACCUGAGCUUUGUCAUCCGAGAGCCCAAGACAGUGGGAUACCAUGAGGAACCACCAGAGAAGAAGGCUGAGUGAAGAGCAGACAUGGGAAGAGGUGGUCACGUGGAAAUUUUCGGCGAACAUAACAUCUUUGUUGGUAAUGUGGUGCUGAGGAUCGAACCCGGGC